rnacentral:lncRNA from 1 species
UCUAUCAACUGAUAAAUGGAUCAAUCAAAUGUGGUUUAUCAAUACAACUGAGUACUCUUUGUAGAUAAAAGAAGGACGGCUUUGGAAUAUUGUCAAUAAAAAGAAUUUUUAUUUAUGCUAGAACACGGAUAAAACUUAUGCUAAGUCAGAGAGGCCAGACACAAAUGGUGUGAUGUUGUGUGAUUCCAUUUACAUGAAAUGACCCACAUUGGCAAAUCCAUAGAGACAAAAACUAGGUUUGUGAUGAUUUAGGGCUUGGGGGAAAGGAGGAUUGGAAAUGAUAACUCCUGAAUAUGGAGAUUUUUUAGUCAUGACAAUAUUCUAAAAUUGCAGUGGUUACACAGCCCUGUAAAUAUACUAAAUCCAUUGAAUUGGAUGCUUUAAAUUGAAUGGUAUGUUAAUUAUUUUCCAGCAGAAGGAUAGUCUCUGGAUAAAAGGUCUGAGCAUCUGCAGAUUUUCUUAAAGCUCUCCAGAUGAUUCUAAUAUAGAGCAGGCGUUUACUGUUUUAGAUGGACCAAACUAAUCUACCUCCACUGUUGAAUAUACUGUUUAAACAACCUGUUGUUUGGGAGGGGGUAGGUGGAUGGGGGCAGUCAGCAAUACAUCUUCAUAGUUCAAGAACAAUUUCAUUCUGGCCUUACAUCAGCUAAUUUAGCUUAAAAGACCAUUUGGAUGCAAGAAAUGACACUUGGUCAUGAGGUUUGGCAAUAUUAAAUUAAUGUCAACUCAGCAUUGACUCAAAAAUAAUUAAUCACAUUUACUCUGAUAAAGAGUAGAAGGAAGGGAAAUUUAAGCAUAGUCAUAAGAUCAAUGAAAAUGCUGUGCAAAGAAGCCAGGAGUGUACUUGAUAAAUUUUGCAUUUGUACUUGACAUAGUUGAAUUUUCAUCAGAUUGUCCCAAAUGAAAAUUUAUCUUCAGGGAUAAAGUGUUUGGCUUUAUGGUUACCCUCUUGAGGCUUUUGACAUCUACAUAUAUAUUUUUUCACAUUGAAAAUAUGUUAUUAUAUCUGGUUUCUAGAAGACAUUUUUGUGGAAGUGUUUCUGUGUUUGACAGGUUGACACCUUAGAAUAUGAACAUGUCAAAGAUAAAACCACUGGGCUUCAUAGCAUUGUUUCAAUCUAAUUUAUAAAAUUAAAUUUUAAUUUAAAAUAUAAAAUAUAAAUACAUUUAUUUUUUAAUCAGAAAAUGUUUCCUUUAGAUUUAAGAAUACUUCAUUUAGACAUGAAAGUUUUUGGUCACUCGAAAGGUUGUUAAGAUGCUGUUACACAUUAAAUAGUAAGUUACAAGAUUUAUUGGAGUCAUAGAUGUUUUUAUAUAUGGUAUGCAUACAGACACGCACAUAUAUAUGUGUGUGUAUAUAUAAAUGGCUUUAUAUAUAUGGCUUUGAGUAAAUAAUUAUUUCUGCAAAGCUUAUUAUGAAAAAUAGCAGCCCUUUCCCCCAGUUUUUCAACUCAGUUUACUACUUAUUUGGUCAAAUAAUAGAGAUAUGCUGUUAACUUCCUGAUCUUUCAGUUUUGGGUAUUAUCUGCUGACUCACUAUAGUGACAGUGGGAAUUUAGCUCUCUUGACCUGUUUUCCUCCACAUGGUCAUUUCUAAUACUUUAAUCUUUCUACUGUAAAUACAGGAUCAUUUUUUCAGCGUUUAUAUUAAGAGGGCUGUAAACACUGCUGUCUGGAGACCCACACUUAGGUUUCCUUUCUUUUUCAUCCUUUUGGUUCCCUGGAGAUGCUGUUUCCUUUUUUAUUUUCUCUAGUUUUAAAUGUGUUUAUUACUAAUUUAUCUUUAAACGGUCACCCAAUUUUCUAAUGCAUGGAAUAUCUUUCUAUUUCUUUACAUCUUCUUUAAUUUCCUUGAUUGUUUUAUAGUUCUCGGCAUAUAACUCCUUUACCUCCUUGGUCAGGUGUAUUCCCAGGUAUUUGACAUUUAUUUAUUUUUUUAAAUUUAGUCUUUCAUUUGUUUUGAGCAUGUAUUUAAUUAUUUAUUGACACAUUUUUAGAAUGUCUUCAUUAGAAUCCUUGUCAGAUAAUUCUAACAUAUUUGUCAUUGCAGUAUUAAAAUCUGUUGACUAUCUUUUUUCAUUCCAUGUGAGCUGUUCCUUGUUCUUGGAAUGAUGAGUGGUUUCCAUUUGAAAUCUGGAUAUUAAGGGUAUUAUGCUAUGAGACUCUGGAGCUUAUUUAAAUUCUGUGUUUUAUUAGACUUUUCCUGACACUUUUCCUGUGAAUGAAAGGGGGCAACAGAAGCCCAAGUUCUCCACUCAGUCUCUGUUGACACCUACGAGGAGGUGGCCUCCUCAUUACUACUGGUCAGAGUAGAGACAAGCCCUUAUUUUUUUUUUUUUUAAAUGUUUAGCAGGACUUUCUAAAAGUUUUGUUUUUGUUUUGUCUUGUUUUUGGCUGUGCCUGUGGCAUGUGGAAGUUCCUGGGUCAGGGAUCAAACCCACAGCACCUCAGGGACCUGAGCAAUAGCAGUGACAACACUGGAUCCUUAACAUUCUGUGCCACAAGGAAAUAUAUAAAAGCUUUUGUCUUGCUAAGUUUCUCUUCCCUGGUCCUUUGGAUAAAGAAAGCAAGAUUCACUUGAGGCUUUAUUUGUUCGUGCCUUUUGGCAUAUCUGGGUUGUUUGCUUCUCCAUCUCUCAGUCUGGGAUAUCUGAGACAAAAUGAAAACCCAGGGAAUGCACCACCAUGUCAUUCCUUGAGUUUUUAGGUUCCUAACCAGCCUGUCUUCUCUUUACUUUCAGAAUCUUGUUAUAUUGUUAUGCAUAUGGUGUCCAGAGUUCUUAGUUGUGCCUGGCAGGCAGAGUAGGGAAACAGAGUUCUCUUGUGGCUCACCAUGUAGUCUCUGCCAUGGCUCUGGUCACUGCUGUAGCUUGAGUUUGAUUCCUAACCCAGGAACUUUUGCAUGCUGUGGGCACAACCU